GAUGAAGAACGCAGCGAAAUGCGAUAAGUAAUGUGAAUUGCAGAAUUCAGUGAAUCAUCGAAUCUUUGAACGCACAUUGCGCCCGCUAGUAUUCUGGCGGGCAUGCCUGUCCGAGCGUCAUUUCAACCCUCAAGCCCCCGGGCUUGGUGUUGGGGAUCGGCGAGCCUCCGCGCCCGCCGUCCCCUAAAUCUAGUGGCGGUCUCGCUGUAGCUUCCUCUGCGUAGUAGCACACCUCGCACUGGGAAACAGCGCGGCCACGCCGUUAAACCCCCAACUUCUGAACGUUUGACCUCGAAUCAGGUAGGAAUACCCGCUGAACUUAAGCAUAUCAAUAAGCGGAGGA
rnacentral:misc_RNA from 1 species